GACGAACGCUGGCGGCGUGCCUAAUACAUGCAAGUCGAGCGAGUCUGCCUUGAAGAUCGGAGUGCUUGCACUCUGUGAAACAAGAUACAGGCUAGCGGCGGACGGGUGAGUAACACGUGGGUAACCUGCCCAAGAGAUCGGGAUAACACCUGGAAACAGAUGCUAAUACCGGAUAACAACAGAUGAUGCCUAUCAACUGUUUAAAAGAUGGUUCUGCUAUCACUCUUGGAUGGACCUGCGGUGCAUUAGCUAGUUGGUAGGGUAACGGCCUACCAAGGCGAUGAUGCAUAGCCGAGUUGAGAGACUGAUCGGCCACAUUGGGACUGAGACACGGCCCAAACUCCUACGGGAGGCAGCAGUAGGGAAUCUUCCACAGUGGACGCAAGUCUGAUGGAGCAACGCCGCGUGAGUGAAGAAGGGUUUCGGCUCGUAAAGCUCUGUUGUUGGUGAAGAAGGACAGGGGUAGUAACUGACCUUUGUUUGACGGUAAUCAAUUAGAAAGUCACGGCUAACUACGU
rnacentral:rRNA from 1 species